AACGAACGCUGGCGGCAUGCCUAACACAUGCAAGUCGAACGAGACCUUCGGGUCUAGUGGCGCACGGGUGCGUAACGCGUGGGAAUCUGCCCUUCGGUUGGGAAUAACUGAGAGAAAUUUCAGCUAAUACCUUAUAAUGUCUUCGGACCAAAGAUUUAUCGCCGAGGGAUGAGCCCGCGUAGGAUUAGGUAGUUGGUGGGGUAAUGGCCUACCAAGCCGACGAUCCUUAGCUGGUCUGAGAGGAUGAUCAGCCACACUGGGACUGAGACACGGCCCAGACUCCUACGGGAGGCAGCAGUGGGGAAUAUUGGACAAUGGGCGAAAGCCUGAGCCAGCAAUGCCGCGUGAGUGAUGAAGGCCUUAGGGUUGUAAAGCUCUUUUACCCGGGAUGAUAAUGACAGUACCGGGAGAAUAAGCGCCGGCUAACUCCGUG
rnacentral:rRNA from 1 species